UCAUUUGUAAAGCACGUUAGGUGGUUAAAUCAGUUAUUGCGGUUUUCUCUUACUGCAAGCCUUUUUAAUCACCCCCAGGCUGCAUUUUAUUCUAUAUCGCCUUUUUUCUUCAAAUCUGCUCCAAUCACUCACUUCUCUCUUAUAAGCUAAUCCUGCCUCACACCUUAAAUCUGUUUCAGUGAUCAAGGGCAGAACUCAUUGUGGCCUUAUCUUUCUUUGUUGUAAUUGUUCACUGUCUCUUUCUUACAGACCACUUAUUUCUGAGU
rnacentral:lncRNA from 1 species